rnacentral:rRNA from 1 species
AUUGAACGCUGGCGGCAUGCUUUACACAUGCAAGUCGAACGGUAACAGGGAGCUUGCUCCGCUGACGAGUGGCGAACGGGUGAGUAAUGCGUCGGAACGUGCCGAGUAGUGGGGGAUAACGCAGCGAAAGUUGUGCUAAUACCGCAUACGUACUGAGGUAGAAAGUGGGGGACCUUCGGGCCUCACGCUAUUCGAGCGGCCGACGUCUGAUUAGCUAGUAGGUGAGGUAAAGGCUCACCUAGGCGACGAUCAGUAGCGGGUCGGGGAGGAUGAUCCGCCACACUGGGACUGAGACACGGCCCAGACUCCGACGGGAGGAAGCAGUGGGGAAUUUUGGACAGUGGGGGAAAGCCUGAUCCAGCCAUGCCGCGUGUCUGAAGAAGGCCUUCGGGUUGUAAAGGACUUUUGUCGGGGAGGAAAUCCCCAGCGUUAAUACCGCUGGGGGAUGACAGUACCUGAAGAAUAAGCACCGGCUAACUACGUGCCAGCAGCCGCAGUAACAC